rnacentral:rRNA from 1 species
UUGAACGCUGGCGGCAGGCCUAACACAUGCAAGUCGAGCGCGAAAGGUUUUCGGACUGAGUAAAGCGGCGGACGGGUGAGUAACGCGUGGGAAUCUGCCCAGUAGUGGGGGACAACAGUCGGAAACGACUGCUAAUACCGCAUACGCCCUGCGGGGGAAAGGGGGGGAUCUUCGGACCUCUCGCUAUUGGAUGAGCCCGCGUCGGAUUAGCUAGUUGGUAGGGUAAAGGCCUACCAAGGCUACGAUCCGUAACUGGUCUGAGAGGAUGAUCAGUCACACUGGAACUGAGACACGGUCCAGACUCCUACGGGAGGCAGCAGUGGGGAAUAUUGGACAAUGGGGCAACCCUGAUCCAGCCAUGCCGCGUGUGUGAAGAAGGCCUUAGGGUUGUAAAGCACUUUCAGUGGGGAGAAAGGUUUGUCACCUAAUACGUGAUGAAAUUGAUGUUACCCACAGAAGAAGCACCGGCUAACUCCGUGCCAGCCGCCGCUGUAA